GACCAUGGUAUGCCUGGUAUAACACAAUGAAUGACACAACUAUGAUGAAGAAGCGUAACUGAAUAUGCAAAGUGUACAGUAUUUGAUUCAGUUAAAGAAUUAAGUACAUGUUGUGUUUUCAUUGGUCUAUAUAGGUAAUGAUGACAAACACAGACCAUUCCUUUAGAAUCUGAUACCACAAUAAGGUCUAAAGAACAAUCAUGAACUCUCAAAGGUAUAACAUCAUCUUCAUAAGUUCCACAAUUAGAAGUAGUUGAUAAUUGAGGUAAGUUUAAAGGAAUAUUUAACUGAAAAACAAAACAUUGUAAUUAUUGACAAAUAAUUAGUUAUAUAGAAAUGUUUACUGUACAAUAAAAUAUUAACCACUGUUUCAUGUGGAAGAUCAUCAUGAAAUUGAAGUCCACUAAGCGUCGGAUUCGAACGAGACAAUUUGAUAUUAUUUUCAUCGUUAUCUUCGCUCACUAAACUCGUAGGAAUUCGUCUGUGAUGAAUAUGAUAUAAGACUUGAUUUAUCAUAUCCCAUUGUGCCCAAACAAAUUCUUUUACUAAUUCUUCGUGUUUUAAUUCUUUUAUUUCCCACAAAGCAUCCACUGAUGCAUCAAAUAUGAUAGUAUAUAUCAUAACACCUACAUAAAUAAAAUCAUAACAUUAAUAUAUAAAGAAAGUUAAAUAAAUCCUGAUUAAUUUAAGAAUAAUUCUAUUAUAUACUUACAUUCUUGAUGAAGUAAUAAUAAAAAUUUAUCAGAUGUAGUUUGGAGUUUUUCCCUAUAUAAGAACUGAAUACGCACUUGCUUAGAUCUUUCAAUUUCUAAAUUAUAAAGUUUAUCUAUGUCAAGUUUCAUUAGAUAUGCUUGAUAAGUUUCUACAUUCACAAUUGACUCUUCUACUUUAGAGCUAUUUUCUUCAAUAGAUUCGACAACUUUUUCAAUAGAAGAAUUUUGCUUUGUCACAUAGCCAAGCAACGUACGGCUUUGAUUUAUUGUAGCUUGAACAAUAUUCAAUAUCAUUUGAAAACGAUGUAGGAUCUACAAAAUAUAAUGCGAGGUGUUUUUUACAAAUUAUAUAUAUUUUUUAUAUAAUAUUCACCUCUAAUUUAUUUUUAAUCCGGUCGUAAUGGCCUAUAACAGUAUAUUGCAAAACUGUGCCGUCUUCUAAUAACUUUUCUUCCAACCAACAUAUAAGAAGAGAUCCAUCUUUUUCUUGACCCAAAAGUUUCCAUUGUUCAGCUACAAAUAUAGAAAUAUAGAUCAUGCAUGAGCUAAGAAAUAUUAAUAUAUUAAUAUAUUAGUUAUAAUAUAUACAAGGCUGUUAUAUAGUUUUCGUCAUAAAUUAUGAUAUAAGAAGUAGUAAGUAAGCAAAUACAGACUGCAACUUCAUACUUGUAAAGUUAUAAGAUUUUCACAUAUUUUUAUAUAUAUAUGAAAGUGAGUAAGAAUUAUUGAAUAUUUCAAAAUAUAUUUAUGAUACAAGUAGAAGCACAAGUUAUUGUACAAUUUUAAUGCUUUUAUAAUUUAUUAUGAUAUAAUUAAUCACAAUAGAACAUUGACAUUUAAAGGAUAUAUUAACCUGUUACUAUAUGUAUUGAUACUUUACUUCAAAGAAUAUUAAUUAUAAAAAUAUAUAAAAAUAAAUAUUAGUUUAAUCCUAUAAAUGUCAAUAUUGAAAUAAGAGCAGUAAAUAGAAAAAGAAGUAGUAAGUUACAAGGAAAUAUAAAGAAUUAAAAAAAAAAACAAAAAAAAAAAACAAAAGAAAAAAUAAAAAAAAAGAAAAAAAAACAGAACCAAUCCUUACUUUCUGUUAAUCAUGUAAUUCCUAUUAUUUACUUGCUUUUUAUGAAACUUGAUAGAACACUUAUAAUGCACUUAUUAAUACUUCCUUUUCAAUCAUAUAAUCCAACAACGUUCCUUUUCCUGUUUCCAAUUGAAAAGUUCCUUUUUAAUGCGAUAAUCCGAUCAAAAUAUUGGACUUUGUUGGUAUUUAUGGAAUGCUAUUAAAUUAAGAAUAACAACAAAACAUUCUACAUCAAUAAAUAAAUAAACUGAGCUAAUAGUAUAGAUUGCCUUUAUGUAUUUUACUUCGUUAAGAAUUAUUUUAUUACAAUAACAAUAAUGCUGAAUAUAUCAUUGCACUAUUAAGUUUAUUAAAUGUAUCUCUUUUAUUUUAACAAAUAUAAUAUACCUGUGACAGUUUUAUCUGGCAAAAGUAAUCGUAGCUUGGCAGCAAGAUUUCCUAUCAUAUCUUUCUCGGAACUAUGUCUUAAUAAAAAAAUCUUAUGUGCAACGAUUGCAAUUAAAUGAAAAAAAAAAAAAAAAUUACUUUCUCCGAAUUAAAGAAUUAUGUAAAAAUGUCACAAAAAGCACAUUUCAUUAGACAGCUGGAUCCCAUUGUUGAAUUAUAGAACUCAAGAUGAUAAGGAGAUAUAGACGUAGAAGACGUAGAUGUUCUAUCUCUUUCUAGUAAAAUAUGAUUGGUCAAUGCGUUUCCAUGGUAACGGAUCAAUCCUAUAUCUAACUGCACCUUUGAGUAAAUCUAUAAAAGGCGAACCAAUGGAGGAUAUUUAGCAGAUUGUACAGUCGGUAUACACAGGGAAGGUUAUUUUUGAAGAUCAUCUUAAUCGAAUGUGAAGUAAAAUUGUAAUAUUUUUGUUAAACAUAUUGCAAUAAGUAAUGUAUUCUUAAUCGAAUUAGAGUUGCAACUUGAAAAAUAAUAAGGAGAUACAUCGUGAAGAAUAAUUGUCUAUGUCUCCAGUGUGAAGCCCAAUAUCCCCUUCAAUUAUUCAUUCCCAUCUGUUGCUACUAUUUAUCUAAUGGAGAGGAACACUAUAUGCGCUAUAUCCAUUAAUAAGCAGGGUAGUUCACAACAGAUGAACGUAUUAUCUAAUUGGAUUAAAACUUAUUUACAAGAGUAAGAUGCUAACUUGGUGAUCGCACACCUCUGAUUUUGGGAUCAUAAUUUGAUUAUUUCAUUAUGAAGAAGUAUAGUUUCUUGAGAUCUUAUUCAAAAAGUGCCAAUAUGUCGUCGCUCGAUGAGGGAUUUCCACUGCUUGCUCCACUACUAGGUGGAGUAUUUAGAUCAGGCGGAUCUAAAUAUGAGAGAAGUUCCAUUGGAUCUACGACAUUGUCUGGCAAGAGCUAAAAAAAAAAAGAGAUUGAAAAAAAAAAUUAGGCCAUGAUAUUUUGCAUUCAUUUUAUAUCAUUUUAUAUCAAUAACUCAUUGAUUGCCUAGUAUAUACAAUAUAUAAUAUAUUUAUAUAUUAUUUAAUACUUACAUUCAAUGCUUCUUGGCCAGUACCCUCGCCAUCUAUAACCGCAGCUGGAUCGAAAUUUAAGUCUGAUGGUAUGUCCGCGGUAUCGGUAUUUAUAUUUGUACUUGUAUUACCAGACGUAUUAUGGUUUCCUGUAGAUUCCUGAGAUGCAGGAGGAACACUUGGUGGACCACUAUUACCACCACCAGGUGUGUGGGGUGUGUGAGGGGUAUGAGGUGUGUGUGGUGUGUGCGGCAUCUAUCAUCACAAAAUAAAAUACGAAUAAAUCGUAUGGGGUAGGAUUUAUUUAUUUAUAUUAAAUUCAGUUUAUUAUAUCUAGGGAAUAUACCUGAUCAUUUAAUGAUUUUUCCAUAGCAUUAAGGGGAUCCAAGGAAUUCACUGAUUCGUUCAAAUGAGUAAGAGGUCCCGUUCCGCUGCUAUAAUCGUUAUUGGUUGAGUUAUUCGUUCCAGGAUUGAUAUCGAACGAUCCACCAGAUGAAUUUCGGUGAUUGAUAUUAUUAUUCCCGUAAGUGGACGACGUAUUGUUCAUCAUCGAGCCGCUUACUAUGCUACUCAUGUCCGGUGGUAUAUAGGGGCUCAUAGCUUGAUUCAUGUCCCAAUUAUUCAUUGUGGGCAUAUUCAUACUUCCAGGUGACAUAGCUUUCGUCAUUCUUUUACAAUCAUUUUCCUCUUCUGACUUAAUAUUGGCUAAAUUCUUAGCAGGUUUCCAAUUCGCCGCAGAGUCUAUCGUUACUUCUUCUACUUCUGCGGUAUUCAGAGUAUUCAGAAUUCCCCACAUAUAUUGAUCGACCUCUAAACCCUCUAAUUGAGCUGGUUUUCUGUAAAAUUAAAAUAAUGACAUUAUUAAUAAUAACAUAUUUUCUUUUUUAUAUAUUGGUAAUUAAUAACGAUUUGAUUUUGGAUACUUACGUGCACACAGGACACCUCCAUGAACCCCGUUCGCAAUUUAAUUGCAGAUAAGACUCUAAGUCGAAACAUUGUAUAUGUUUGCAAUCGUGUCCCCUCGCUGGCAGUGUAAUACGUUUGAAAGUUAUAGGACAUUUUAAAGAUACCUGUAAAAGGAUGAUAUAAUGAUGAUAUAAUAUUUUUACAGGUUCAUAAGUUAAUAUAAAAAUAUUUAACGAAGUAUAUUCUUACCUUAAGUGCUGUUUGUUCCACGACAUCUUUCUCGGAUUGGAUGCCGUUACUCGAAAUUGUAUUAUUAAAAUUUCUUUUGAUUUUCGUUAUGCAAUGUUCUGCAGUAAGUAAUCUCUUACGUAAUAAACCUUGCAGAACGCUACGUACACUUGGUCGAUGGACUAAUUGAAGAACAAAUAGAUGUGACUGUAAAUGAGAAUAAACAUUUAUAUUAAUAUGUACAGACUAAAAAUAUUUAAAUGCCAAUGCUACACAUAUCUAUGUGUUUUUUUUUUUUUUUAAAUACUUACACAACAGCAUGCGGAUACUGUAAUCUGUAUAGUAUUUCUUCCCGGUUGGCACACGUCCUUUAGAUAAAGAGGCUUGUGGGAUGUCUUGUUUUCGCCACGAUCAAUAACGAGGGGCGUUGCAUUGACAGAAACUUGAACACUUGCAGGCCAAUUUGUGUUCAUCUGUCUAUCUUCGUGAUGGAAACAUUUAAGCUGUAGCUCCAAGUCGGAUCGCCACAUUAACGUUUGAUGAACCGUAGAUUUCAGUUGAAAAACAUGGUUGCUUACAGCCAAAUUAUGUUCUAAGCGGAAGGGUGGAAGAAUAAUACCGUCUCUCACGGGGAAUGUUAAUCUUAAUUCAUCGUCUUCUGCGAACAAGAAGAUUCAUUAUUAGGCGAUUUGAUUUCGUUGAAAUUUGGUUUAAUGUCCGGAUUUGGACUGAUGUAAGGUGGUAUACUAGUCGCUGGCGUUAAUGGAGGAGUUGGAUUACCAGGUAUAGGACUAUGUUGAUAAUUCAGAUUUGCUGCCCCUGUCGUUCUCAUCGACGCCACAUCCUGUUGGUAUUGACUUGUAGCCGCAGCAGCAGCAGCAGCAGCAGCUCCGUACGAAGAUUGUCCACCACCGUAAGCUGCAUUUUGUUGAUGACCGACGAAUUGGUUCCCUACUGUGGUGGGUCCCAUACUAACUGGUACACCAUUGCCAUUAUAAUAUUGGCCUGCUGCUGCUUGCGACGCCGUAUUAUACGAUGGCGUUGUUUGCCUCAUGUUCGUCCCUUUAAAAUAUGUUAUUUAAUGGUAAGCACAAAUUUCAUU